rnacentral:lncRNA from 1 species
CAAGAUUUCAACAAAAUUCCAAUCAUAUUUCAAAAGAUGGACUGGGAUUUACAUACCUAAACAAGGAGACAACAAUAGCAAAGAGCUUAGCAAUGGCUUAUAGAGAAAUCGAGCAGACAAUGCCAAUACCCGUGACAUAAAAUCUGGACGACUGAAAAAGAAUAAAGUUUGAGGUGUGACCUUUUAAAUGAACGACGACUUCAAUAUAUUAAUAUAUUGACUGGUAUUGUAAUGACGAAGAUGACAUCCAAACCGAGCAAAGUUCAGCAGUCCAUAAACGAACCAAUCCAACAAAUUCAACCAUUUCAACAAUAAUUAAUACACAAUACUCCAAAUAGGAAUCUCAUACCAGGAAUGCAGCAUUAGAGCAUUUAAACAAAGUGAAUAUCUAUACAACUCAUGGAAUUUUGAGGCAAAUUUAAAUAGAGAUACACUCGCGCGAGUUUCGUUAACCAAAAUAUAAUAGUUACAUUUUAGGUCCUAACGAAAUACCUGGUUACAGCAAAAUCUGAGCCAAAUAGAAAAUGAUAGAACCCAACAAACAGCCGCAGAUUCGACAAUGAAUCCUCCAAUCUCAAACAAACAGCAAAUCGGAGCUCAGCAAUUACAAUAGUAAAAAUCAGCGGAAUCGAACAAUGACUGGAAUUUAAAUCAAUCUCUCAGCUUUGAAACCAAUUCUAAAACUUCAACAAGCUCUGAAAUCCCCCAAAAAUGUGAGAGCACAAGAAUUUGAAACUGAAAAUCAGCUUAGGCAAUCUUUUUUUUCUUUCUAGAUCUGAAAGUUCAGAAUUCAGGUAUGCUUCUCUUUCCCCUUUUUGUGUGUGUGCGUAAAUUCUCAAAUCAUUCUAUGUUGAAGGGAAUGAAGAGGGAGAAGAAGCUACUGAGUAAAGGAGGAGAGGAAAUGUUCAGCAUGGAAAA